rnacentral:rRNA from 1 species
UACGGAGGGUGCAAGCGUUAUCCGGAUUCACUGGGCGUAAAGGGCGCGUAGGCGGCUUUGUAAGUCGGGGGUGAAAGCCUGUGGCUCAACCACAGAAUUGCCUUCGAUACUGCGAGGCUUGAGACCGGAAGAGGUUAGUGGAACUGCGAGUGUAGAGGUGAAAUUCGUAGAUAUUCGCAAGAACACCAGUGGCGAAGGCGGCUGACUGGUCCGGAUCUGACGCUGAGGCGCGAAAGCGUGGGGAGCAAACAGG